UGAGGAACAUGACAUUCGGCGGGGGAUAGCCGGCCCAACGGCCGGGUAAUACCGCGUACGACCACAUGGGGACAUCCCUGAGUGGUGAAAGCAGCAAUGCGCCGAUGGAGUGCCUCGCGGCCUAUCAGCUAGUUGGUGAGGUAAUGGCUCACCAAGGCGACGACGGGUAGCCGGCCUGAGAGGGCGAUCGGCCACACUGGGACUGAGACACGGCCCAGACCUCUACGGGAGG
rnacentral:rRNA from 1 species